rnacentral:lncRNA from 1 species
UCUUUGUAAGGAGCAUAAAUAAUAGAAGGUAUUUUUGAUACCCUUCCAAUAUCUAUGGUCGAUGUUGAAGAAUCAUCAUCAGAAAAUCUAAAAGAGGUUGAUUUCCUGUUGAAUGUAAGCUUUACUUUUCCAUCUGGAAAUUGGGUUAUAUUUUUAAGAUUUGUAUUUGGUUCUGUUUGCUUUGGGAAUUCAGGUUGGGUUGCACCUUCAAGGAUCCAUUCU